rnacentral:tRNA from 1 species
GCCGGCAUAGCACAAUGGUACUGCGGCACUUUUGUAAAGUGAGGAUUGGCGGUUCGAAUCCGUCUGCCGGCACCA